GGGCAAUCUACCCUUUAGCUUGGGAUACCACUUGGAAACAGGUGCUAAUACCAAAUAAGAAGUAAGAGCGCAUGCUCAAGCUAUGAAAGGCGGCUUUCGAGCUGUCACUAAAGGAUGAGCCCGCGGUGCAUUAGCUAGUUGGUAAGGUAACGGCUUACCAAGGCAAUGAUGCAUAGCCGAGUUGAGAGACUGAUCGGCCACAUUGGGACUGAGACACGGCCCAAACUCCUACGGGAGGCAGCAGUAGGGAAUCUUCCACAAUGGACGCAAGUCUGAUGGAGCAACGCCGCGUGAGUGAAGAAGGUUUUCGGAUCGUAAAGCUCUGUUGUUGGUGAAGAAGGACAUGGAUAGUAACUGAUCUAUGUUUGACGGUAAUCAACCAGAAAGUCACGGCUAACUACGUGCCAG
rnacentral:rRNA from 1 species